UUUGUAUUUAUCUUUUUCUCAAUUUGUCACAAUUUCCCAGGGAAAAAUGACCCAAAAGUACUCCAAGCAACAACGUUUCAGGAAGAACCCAAAAGACACUAAAGAACAACAUUUCGCCAAUCCAACCCGUUUCCUCUGUUAUUUCUUUCAUGUCCGAUUCCAAACAAACCUUGCAAAACCCAGCCAAAUAAAGAACCUCUCUAAAUCCUUUCUUCCUUCUCCCUGUAUUCUCCUUAUCCUUCCUCCAAUUCGCUAACUUUGAAAUAAUCUUGAAAAUCACUACCACACGAAAAUUCAACUCCGACAACUCUCAUCGGUGGCACACAAAAUCAGAACAGUUGCUAUAUGUUCUCCAAUCGUGGCCUCCUUCUUAAGGGUUUGUUUAUGUCUUGUAAUGUCGAUAGUGACUUUACAAAUCGGAAUAGACUUACCCAAAAUCAACAUCAAGAUUGGCAAAGAAUCUGCAGCUAGAUCAAGGACUCGGAAGUAGGUGAACUCAUAUGUUGAGCGUUUAUCCAACGAGUUACAAUAUUUUCUUGUGCUUCUGAUUCUUGUGGACCUUAUUUUCGUAGGAUUUACUCUAAACUUCUAAUUAGUAUGGCCUUUGGUAACCAACUUUGUAUAAUGAAACUCAUGCAAUUUUGAGUAAGAGAACUGGAGAUUUUGACAGCAUUAUAUGUUAAAUUAGACUUCCUGA